UACGAAGGGGGCUAGCGUUGCUCGGAAUCACUGGGCGUAAAGGGCGCGUAGGCGGGUCUUUAAGUCAGGGGUGAAAUCCUGGAGCUCAACUCCAGAACUGCCUUUGAUACUGAAGAUCUUGAGUUCGGGAGAGGUGAGUGGAACUGCGAGUGUAGAGGUGAAAUUCGUAGAUAUUCGCAAGAACACCAGUGGCGAAGGCGGCUCUCUGGGACGGUACUGACGCUGAGACGCGAAAGCGUGGGGAGCGAACAGG
rnacentral:rRNA from 1 species